rnacentral:rRNA from 1 species
UACGUAGGGUGCGAGCGUUGUCCGGAAUUAUUGGGCGUAAAGAGCUCGUAGGCGGUUUGUUGCGUCGGCCGUGAAAACCUGCAGCUUAACUGUGGGCCUGCGGCCGAUACGGGCAGACUUGAGUUCGGUAGGGGAGACUGGAAUUCCUGGUGUAGCGGUGAAAUGCGCAGAUAUCAGGAGGAACACCGGUGGCGAAGGCGGGUCUCUGGGCCGAUACUGACGCUGAGGAGCGAAAGCGUGGGGAGCGGACAGG